UGUUAACGUCGGACAUAACUUUCAUUAAUUGGAGAGGACUCUGCGGAGUGAAGGCAGUGGCGUGGCUGCCGCGGGCUUCGUAAUUAAUCUUACGCUCUAAUGAGUGUCAAUUGGCAGGAGCUGCCAAUUAACGUACUAGCUGCCAGCUUAGUUUUCAGUACCAGAACGGAACUAAGAGACCGGUCAAGUCGGUGGUGUUUAUCAUGGAUGAAAAAUUCUGACACAACAAAAGCGCAUCGAGAUGGAGUAUUGCGUGUUAUGGGGCAAUGAGGCACCCUGUAAUUGCUCGUAAUAACGGAGUAAUCAUGAAAGUUACACCACUGUGGCGACUUGUAUGGCCUGACUGAGUUGGGGAUGAGGAUGGCAAAACGAACCUUCGACAGUGAUGGGAGUAACGUGAAGAACGGAUGACGCUUUGCUCUAUUUGAAAAUACAUUUCUGGAGAGAAUGCCGGGAGAAACGAUGGAAACGAAAGGAAUACAAGGCAAUGGUAGGUGCAAAGGAAGAUUUUCAGAUAACAUGUACAGCUAUAUAUGUAUAUAUUUCGUGA